rnacentral:lncRNA from 1 species
AAAAUCUCCAACCAAGUAUUUCAUAUCCAGCUAAACUAAGCUUCCUAAGUGAAGGAGAAAUGAGAUCAUUUACAGACAAGCAAAUUCUGAGGUGAUGGCAUCAGCUGAGAAGGGAAGGAAGCCCAUGUGAGGACACUGAAGAAGGAGUGAGCAGACAAUAAGAAGCCCACAGAAGACAGAGAAGGAAAAACUAGAGGGAGAAGCCAAGUUUCUCCACAGACACUACCCAAAGCAGUCCUUCACUACAGUGGCAGACAGACCUGAAAAUUUUCAUCUGAAGCAGCAGAGUGAACUGCAGAGUCAGGUCACCAACCAGUGUGGAGGCUAACAGCAGGCCUCUUUGGGGAUUCCAGGUGGAAGUGUUGGACAUCUGUAGUAUUCCUGGUCUCGAAUCAUCCUGAUAUUCUUCAUUUUGUUAUUCACAUUGGACUAGGCAGGAACAAAGAUCACCACAACUGGCUCCCCUUCAACUGUGUUAGAUGGCAGCUUGCCUUCAGUACGGUGAAACACAUUAGUUAAGACUGGGAUUGUGCAUGG